rnacentral:rRNA from 1 species
CGGGAGGCAGCAGCAGUGAGGAAUAUUGCACAAUGGGGGGAACCCUGAUGCAGCAACGCCGCGUGGAGGAUGACGCAUUUCGGUGUGUAAACUCCUUUUAUAUGUCAAGAAAAUGACGGUAGCAUAUGAAUAAGCACCGGCUAACUCCGUGCCAGCAGCCGCGGUAAUACGGAGGGUGCAAGCGUUACUCGGAAUCACUGGGCGUAAAGGACGCGUAGGCGGGUUGGAAAGUCAGGUGUGAAAUCCUACAGCUUAACUGUAGAACUGCACUUGAAACUUCUAAUCUAGAGUAUGGGAGGGGGAGAUGGAAUUAGUGGUGUAGGGGUAAAAUCCGUAGAUAUCACUAGGAAUACCUAAAGCGAAGGCGAUCUCCUGGAACAUUACUGACGCUAAGGCGUGAAAGCGUGGGGAGCAAACAGGAUUAGAUACCCGAGUAGUC